UCUUUAGUAGCUCAGUAGUAGAGCGAUCGGCUGUUAACUGAUUGGUCUUAGGUUCGAAUCCUACCUGGAGAG
rnacentral:tRNA from 1 species